UCCGGUUUGUCACCGGCAGUCCCAUUAGAGUGCUCAACUGAAUGUAGCAACUAAUGGCAAGGGUUGCGCUCGUUGCGGGGCUUAACCCAACAUCUCACGACACGAGCUGACGACAGCCAUGCAGCACCUGUGUUCAGGCUCCCUUUCGGGCACUCCCCCGUUUCUGGAGGAUUCCUGACAUGUCAAGGGUAGGUAAGGUGGGGAUGACGUACCUUACAGCGUAC
rnacentral:misc_RNA from 1 species